UACGAAGGGGGCUAGCGUUGUUCGGAAUCACUGGGCGUAAAGCGCACGUAGGCGGAUUGUUAAGUCGGGGGUGAAAUCCUGAGGCUCAACCUCAGAACUGCCUUCGAUACUGGCAAUCUCGGGUCCGGAAGAGGUUGGUGGAACAGCUAGUGUAGAGGUGAAAUUCGUAGAUAUUAGCUAGAACACCAGUGGCGAAGGCGGCCAACUGGUCCGGUACUGACGCUGAGGUGCGAAAGCGUGGGGAGCAAACAGG
rnacentral:rRNA from 1 species